rnacentral:rRNA from 1 species
UUUCUGCCACCGAAUACAUUAGCAUGGGAUAAUGGAAUAGGACCCUGUCCUCCUAUUUUCAGUUGGUUUUGGCAGCGCGAGGACUAGGGUAAUGAUUAAUAGGGAUAGUUGGGGGCAUUAAUAUUUAAUUGUCAGAGGUGAAAUUCUUGGAUUUAUGAAAGAUUAACUUCUGCGAAAGCAUCUGCCAAGGAUGUUUUCAUUAAUCAAGAACGAAAGUUAGGGGAUCGAAGACGAUCAGAUACCGUCGUAGUCUUAACCAUAAACGAUGCCGACCAGCGAUUAGGAGACGUUGAAUACAAAACACCACCAUCGGCGCGGUCGUCCUUGGCGUGUCUCGGCUUCACGGCUGGGGCGCGCGAGGGCGGUUUAGCCCGGUGGCACCGGUGAAUGACUC